GCGUCGGUGGUGCAACGGUUUAGCACAUGCCCUCGGAAAGAGUAAGAUCCGGGUUCAAAUCCGUGCUGACGCA